CUCCGGUUUCCUCGACAAGUCCAAAGACAUGCGGUACAGAUGAAUUGGUGGGAUGAUGAUGAUGCUCCAUACCCAACUCUACAGAUGGCUGAAAGUCCGUUUUAGAGGCAUUAUUACAUCCUUCGCUGUUUACUGUGUUUUCAACUUGGCUUAUCCAUGCUACAUAAAGAAUGCAAAGGAUGAACAUCAGCAACUCCCCAAGAUGGAACAACAAUUUAAAUUUGAACAUCAGCAACGGUGUGAAGAUGGAGAUCCAAAAUUUAC